GGAAUUCACUAGGGAUUCGGGCCUACACAUGCAAGUCGAACGGCAGCAUGGAAGAGCUUGCUCUUCUGAUGGCGAGUGGCGAACGGGUGAGUAAAGCAUCGGAACGUACCGUGUAAUGGGGGAUAACGUAGCGAAAGUUACGCUAAUACCGCAUACGACCUGAGGGUGAAAGCAGGGGAUCGCAAGACCUUGCGUUAUACGAGCGGCCGAUGUCAGAUUAGCUAGUUGGUAGGGUAAAGGCCUACCAAGGCGACGAUCUGUAGCGGGUCUGAGAGGAUGAUCCGCCACACUGGGACUGAGACACGGCCCAGACUCCUACGGGAGGCAGCAGUG
rnacentral:rRNA from 1 species